GUGAAUAUUUCUGCCCUGGAUUAUUGUCAAACACGGGACCUUUUAUUUCUUUUACUGCUAAACCUAAGUCACAGACAAGAUCAAAAAUAUAUAGGACACCUGGAAAGCUGAGGGUGAACCUUGGCUGCCACAGUUUAAUGCCUCAUGAAACAAUGAUGUGGGAGCAGCUGCCAUGAAGCAUUUGCAACAUUCUGCACAAGUUCUCACUGGGAGGCUGUUGAAGAAGGUGUCUGUGCAGUUUUUAUUGAGCCAGAAGUAAAUGCUCUUUGCUGAUUGUAAAAUCAAGCCUGAACCUUGAGAAUUUCUCUUUUCCAAUGACAAAUAACUGUAACAUGGCCAGGCAAUGAUGUAUGAGCCACAAGAGUGAGAAGAG